AGGGAAACAACCCAGACCGCCGUUUAAGGUCCCAAAUACAGGCUAAGUGGAAAACGAAGUGUGAAGGCUAAGACAGUCAGGAAGUUGGCUUAGAAGCAGCCAUCCUUCAAAGAAAGCGUAAUAGCUCACUGAUCGAGUCCUCAUGCGCGGAAGAUGUAACGGGGCUAAGUCUGUAACCGAAAGCGCGGAUUUGCACGCAAGUGCAAGUGGUAGGGGAGCGUUCUGUAAGCCUGCGAAGGUGUGUGGUAACGCAUGCCGGAGGUAUCAGAAGUGCGAAUGCUGACAUGAGUAACGAUAAAGCGGGUGAAAAGCCCGCUCGCCGUAAGCCCAAGGUUUCCUGCUCUACGUUCAUCGGAGCAGGGUGAGUCGGCCCCUAAGGCCAGGCUGAGAAGCGUAGCUGAUGGGAAGCAGAUUAAGAUUUCUGCACCGACGUUAAGUGCGAAGGGGGGACGGAGUUUUGAGCAUCAUCCGGGUGUUGGAUGUCCCGGUUUGUGCGUGUAGGAGGCCGGCAGGCAAAUCCGCCGGCGAAUCUCCGAGACAAAGCAUCGAGCUGCAUUUUGCAGUGAAGUGAUGGGAUGAACUUCCAGGAAAAGCCUCUAAGCUAUAGCUUGACGUCGACCGUACCGUAAACCGACACAGGUGGGCGAGUUGAAUAUACUCAGGCGCUUGAGAGAACUCGGGAGAAGGAACUCGGCAAAUUGACACCGUAACUUCGGGAUAAGGUGUGCCUUUGUAGUGUGAAGAGUGAAACACUCCGAGCAUGAAGAGGUCACAGAGAAUAGGUGGCUGCAACUGUUUACUAAAAACACAGCACUCUGCAAAGACGAAAGUCGACGUAUAGGGUGUGAUGCCUGCCCGGUGCUGGAAGAUUAAGUGAUGGGGUGCAAGCUCCUGAUCGAAGUCCCGGUAAACGGCGGCCGUAACUAUAACGGUCCUAAGGUAGCGAAAUUCCUUGUCGGGUAAGUUCCGACCUGCACGAAUGGCAUAAUGAUGGCCACACUGUCUCCUCCCGAGACUCAGUGAAGUUGAAAUGUUUGUGAUGAUGCAAUCUCCCCGCGGCUAGACGGAAAGACCCCAUGAACCUUUACUGCAGCUUUGCAUUGGACUUUGAACCGAUCUGUGUAGGAUAGGCGGGAGGCAGAGAACCGAGGACGCCAGUCUUUGGGGAGCCGACGUUGAAAUACCGCCCUGAUUUGUUUGAGGUUCUAACCGCGGACAGUAAACCUGUUCCGGGACCGUGCAUGGUAGGCAGUUUGACUGGGGCGGUCUCCUCCUAAAGGGUAACGGAGGAGUACAAAGGUACGCUAGGUACGGUCGGAAAUCGUGCUGAUAGUGCAAUGGCGCAAGCGUGCUUGACUGCGAGACCGACAAGUCGAGCAGAUGCGAAAGCAGGUCAUAGUGAUCCGGUGGCACUGAAUGGAAGGGCCAUCGCUCAACGGAUAAAAGGUACUCUGGGG
rnacentral:rRNA from 1 species